UGACAGACACCUGUUGAGCUCCCUCAUCAC
rnacentral:piRNA from 1 species